rnacentral:lncRNA from 1 species
CCCAAGAUGAGCCAAUAGGAAACUUCUUGAACUUCCAUGCAGAUUUCACCAAGUUUGCCACUAGUCCAUAUCCUUGAUGAAUGGAGAAGAUUUGAGCCUGACAACUUAAAACACAAACAGCUUAUCUACCAUUGUAAUAUGGUUUGGCUUCAGUGUGAACUGGAAAAUGGUUUUUCAUUCUUCAACUCAGCCAGUGAGCCUCAGCACCUGAAAGUAGUUGGACAGCACAUGAUCCCUAGUAGAUAAAAUACACAGCUUUUUCUUCCAGCUUGAAGACACUGUAGAAGACAGAGACCUCCACUCCUUCAGCAACUUAUAAAGAAUUAUGGGGAUUUGUGUCUCUCAGGGAGAAAUGAGGCAGGAAGGCAGGGCGUGGCAGAGCUGGAUGGCAGACUAAGCUUGACCAGAUCCCAGGACACGAGCCAAAUAAUUCCCAAGGCUCCCUAUAUGGAGUUCUCCUAGGUUCCUGCAAUGUGUGGAAGAAAUAAAGAGGCAGGAUGCCACUGAAAGCAAGCUAGCAUGGCUAUCCUCAUGGUAGCCCACCCUGUGUCCCCCAGGGUGUACUUUUUGUUUUGUUUUUAUUUUUAAUUUUUCCUCCCUUUUAUUUGGCCCACAUUCACUCUGCAGAGUCAGUUUCUCCUUCACCCUUCAUUUUUAAUCUUUCAAAUAAACUUUGUCACCA